rnacentral:rRNA from 1 species
GACGAACGCUGGCGGCGUGCUUAACACAUGCAAGUCGUACGGUAAGGCCCUUUCGGGGGUACACGAGUGGCGAACGGGUGAGUAACACGUGCGUAACCUGCCCACAACUUUGGGAUAACGCUAGGAAACUGGUGCUAAUACUGGAUAUGUGCUCCUGCUGCAUGGUGGGGGUUGGAAAGCUCCGGCGGUUGUGGAUGGACUCGCGGCCUAUCAGCUUGUUGGUGGGGUAGUGGCCUACCAAGGCGGCGACGGGUAGCCGGCCUGAGAGGGUGACCGGCCACAUUGGGACUGAGAGACGGCCCAGACGCCUACGGGAGGCAGCAGUGGGGAAUAUUGCACAAUGGGCGCAAGCCGGAUGCAGCAACGCCGCGUGCGGGAUGACGGCCUUCGGGUUGUAAACCGAUUUCAGCAGGGACGAAGCUUUUUGUGACGGUACCUGCAGAAGAAGCACCGGCUAACUACGUG